AUAUUUCCUCACAAAUUUCACUUUGCUUUCUCUACUCAGCAAGGUUUCUGCUAUUUGUGAUCCACUGUCUGUGCUGCUAUUUGUAAAAUGCUUCCAGGUGAAAGCCAGGAAGAAUAUGAAGUUCAUCUCAUGCAUUGUUUUUCCUCUCAAGAAUAACACCUGUAUUGUUUUUGUCCAAGGCUUAAAACAGUUUCUUCGUUUAUUUUUGUUCAAUUUUUUUAUUGAGGUAUAAUUGACAUAGAACAUUAUAUUAGUUUCAGGUGUACAACAUAAUGAUUUAAUAUUUGUAUAUACUGUGUAAUUAUUUUUGUUCAAUUUUUGGGUUAUUUAUUGUGGGAGGAUGAAUAUGAUACCAAUUAUUUCAUUAUAGCAAAAACUAUGUAUCUAGACAUGUCAAAUUUGAGAUGUCUAUUAGGUAACCAGAUAGCAAAGUAUGGUAAACUACUGAAUGCAUGAAUUUGGAUUUCAUGAAUAAGGUCCAUGCUGGAGACAUAAAUUGGGUAUUCACCAGUUUAUAUAACGUAUAUAAAGUUUUGAAGUGGAUGAGAUCUCCUAAAGUGUUAGUUUAGAUUGAGAGGAAAUAUAAGGACUGAGCCUUUGGGCAACUUUAAAAUAUCAGGGAGAUGAGGAAGAAUCAACAAAUUCAGAAACAUCGAAUGGGUAGGAGCAAAAAUAGUAGUGUUGUGACCUAGAAGCCAAGUGAAGAAUAUGUUUCAAAGAAGAGGUAAUCUUCAACUGUGUCAACCAGUGCUGAUUAGUCAAGAAAGGUAAGAAUAUGAACAGAUCAUUGGAUUUAUCAAACACUGGAGUCAUAAUAACCUUAACACCAGAAGUUCUAUUGGAGUAGUGGGGAUGAAAGCCUGACUGGUGUGAAUUCAAAUCAGAAUGGAGACAAAGUAUGGGGACUUUGUAAAAUUAGGAAUAUACAGAUUAUGUGGAAAGAAAUUAAAUAUAGAUAGUAAAAAAUAUACAGGAAUGUCCUAGAGUGUUUGAUAGAACUUUACUUGGAAACCACUGGACCGGAGCUACUUUAGAUGGAGGGGUAUUCCUGGCAUAUUCUGUUAAAUGUUCAACAACUGGCUCUCUGAAAAGAAAAAAAAAAAAAAAAAGCCCUGAUUUGUAGCAUUUGCCAAUCUCUGUGAUGUAAUAAAUACUCCCAAUUUGGGAGAUUUCAAGCUACCAAUGUGAUGUCACUGAACACAGAAGAGAUACAUAUGAUCCACUUUUAAGAGCUCAGCAUAUCACUGGAUAUAUAUUCCUCUUUUCCAAUUUAUUUUAUGACUAUUGGUCUGUUAAGAUUUUCAUUUUACUUAUUCUUAAAUUGGUUUUAUCAAUUUGUAUAUUCCUAAAAAAUUAUCCAUUUCAUUUAAGUUAUCUUAGGCUGUUACUGAAAAAUGGAGGCUGUGAAUUAUUUAGGGAUCACAAAUAUAUAAAAUUUUGUUUACACCCUUCAUUUGUGUGAAAAUAAUUAUAGUACAGUAUAAAAACAAUCUUUGCUGAGAACAGAAAUAUGAUGUCCACUUUCAUCACUCUGUCAGAAACAAACUGCAUGAUAUUUAAAAAGUAUGGAUAUCAAACUCUUAAUAUAUAUGUAGGAUGUACAAACAAGAUGUAAUAGGACUUUUUACAUUAAAAAGACAGCUUGAGCAGAAAAAAGACUAAAAUUGAAAACAUUGCAAAAAACCUGUCCUUUCGUCUACUUCCUAGCAGAUUUCUUCAUCUUCUAACCCUCCUACCAUUUUCAUUAUCCUACCAUAUUUUUAAUUUCUAAGAAUUUUUUUCAUCAUCUUGUGUUUGUUCAUGGAUACAGUAUCUUAUCUUAUGGAAGAUAUUAAUUAUAUUUUUUGAGGUUUUCUUCUGGUUGUAGUAUUGGCUCUUUUCCUCCAAGUUUCUCCUUAUGCCUUUUGGUUUGCUUUUGUUUUUCUCUUUAGGGUUAUAGUCUUUCCUCAAACAUCUGUUGAUUUUGGUGGUUCCAUCAUAUUUAAGAGUAAUUUAAGAGCUCUGUAUCUGUGUGUGUGGAGGUUUUAAAUGAUGUGCUUCAUGGUUGGGUGAUAGAAAUGGGCCAUUUUCUUGGGAGAAAGACACACAUACACACACACACACAUAUACAUACAUAAAAUACACAUGUAUAUAUUUUUUCAAUAAGUCAAUUUCUCCAGAGCAAAGUUCUUUAAUCCAUUGCCUGAAAGUUGUAAAAGCCUGGCUACCAGUAUUCUUGGAAGCAAGUUAAAAGUAGGUCCUCCUAAAUAUCACCACUUGGUAUGUUCUUUCUAAUAUUUCCCCAUUUUUUUUUCUUUUAGUAUGCACCUUACUCCAAUUCUCAAUGAACCAUGUGUUCCUAACUCCAGGAUCCACUUGGUUUAGUAAGAGAAGAAAGCCUCAAUCUUCUGCCAAGAAUCUCUACUGUCAGGAGGAAAGUUGGCCCUGAGAUCCUUUCCUCAGUUUCUUUUAGAGCAGAAAAACAUAGGCCUUGCUUGGAAAUUCUUAAGGAAUGUCAAAGAGCUGGUCCUGUUG